rnacentral:lncRNA from 1 species
CCAGGCCUAGGGAGAGAGCACUGGCCCUACUCUGGGCAGGAAGUCAACAGGGGAGUGGAGAGUAAUGCUAAGAAAACAUCCCCCGUCUUUCAGGAGGGUGAACUGCUUUCCCCUGAAAUCGCCACAUCCUCAGUUUCUCAAAAUAAGGGAAAGGAGUCCGCUUGAGCUACUGACAAGAUGAAAGAACUGUUAAGGGGCCUAACGAGAGAAAGAGAAAAGGACUAGGAGGAGAAAAGUGUCUUUCGUGUUAAGGAAGACAGGACGAGGCACACAAGGACCGGCCACGAGCUUGCUAGGAGUUAAUGUAAGCAAUCAGUGAGUGCGUAGUUCGCUACCCAGCAAGAACCAAAUGCUGCUGCUGCUGCUACUGCUGCUGAAGUCGAACUUUAAGAACUCAGUAACCUAAAGAGGAGUUUGAAGAGGUAUCAUGAAACGCCGUCCUGCGGAAACAUCCACCAUCCGGACCACUGAGGGACCCCAGAACCCAACCUCCAACUGAGUGAACACGGGGAAUGCUCAGAUAGAGAGGCAAGGACCUUGGUCUGCUCCCUCCAUGUAAGAGCUGAUCUGGCUUCCC